rnacentral:rRNA from 1 species
AUAGACCCGAAACCCGGUGAUCUAGCCAUGGGCAGGUUGAAGGUUGGGUAACACUAACUGGAGGACCGAACCGACUAAUGUUGAAAAAUUAGCGGAUGACCUGUGGCUGGGGGUGAAAGGCCAAUCAAACCGGGAGAUAGCUGGUUCUCCCCGAAAGCUAUUUAGGUAGCGCCUCGUGAAUUCAUCUCCGGGGGUAGAGCACUGUUUCGGCCAGGGGGCCAUCCCGGCUUACCAAUCCGAUGCAAACUGCGAAUACCGGAGAAUGUUAUCACGGGAGACACACGGCGGGUGCUAACGUCCGUCGUGAAGAGGGAAACAACCCAGACCGCCAGCUAAGGUCCCAAAGUCAUGGUUAAGUGGGAAACGAUGUGGGAAGGCCCAGACAGCCAGGAUGUUGGCUUAGAAGCAGCCAUCAUUUAAAGAAAGCGUAAUAGCUCACUGGUCGAGUCGGCCUGCGCGGAAGAUGUAACGGGGCUAAACCAUGCACCGAAGCUGCGGCAGCGAACGUAUCACCCAAGACAACUUUACACAGUUGACGCCUGACGGAGCGAAGCGACGUCAAAGCGUUUUACAACGUCGAGUUGGCUUAGGGAUACGUUCGUUGGGUAG